GACGAACGCUGGCGGCGUGCUUAACACAUGCAAGUCGAACGGAAAGGCCCUUCGGGGUACUCGAGUGGCGAACGGGUGAGUAACACGUGGGUGAUCUGCCCUGCACUUUGGGAUAAGCCUGGGAAACUGGGUCUAAUACCGAAUAGGACCGCGCGCUUCAUGGUGUGUGGUGGAAAGCUUUUGCGGUGUGGGAUGGGCCCGCGGCCUAUCAGCUUGUUGGUGGGGUAAUGGCCUACCAAGGCGACGACGGGUAGCCGGCCUGAGAGGGUGACCGGCCACACUGGGACUGAGAUACGGCCCAGACUCCUACGGGAGGCAGCAGUGGGGAAUAUUGCACAAUGGGCGCAAGCCUGAUGCAGCGACGCCGCGUGAGGGAUGACGGCCUUCGGGUUGUAAACCUCUUUCACCGGGGACGAAGCGCAAGUGACGGUACCUGGAGAAGAAGCACCGGCCAACUACGUG
rnacentral:rRNA from 1 species